UACGGAGGGUGCGAGCGUUGUCCGGAAUCAUUGGGCGUAAAGGGCGCGUAGGUGGCCCAGCAAGCGUGCGGUGAAAGCUCGGGGCUCAACCCCGAGUCGGCCGUGCGAACUGCUGGGCUGGAGCACUGUAGAGGCAGGCGGAAUUCCGGGUGUAGCGGUGGAAUGCGUAGAGAUCCGGAAGAACACCGGUGGCGAAGGCGGCCUGCUGGGCAGUUGCUGACACUGAGGCGCGACAGCGUGGGUAGCAAACAGG
rnacentral:rRNA from 1 species